UACGGAGGGUGCAAGCGUUAUCCGGAUUCACUGGGUUUAAAGGGUGCGUAGGUGGGCAGGUAAGUCAGUGGUGAAAUCUCCGGGCUUAGCCCGGAAACUGCCGUUGAUACUAUUUGUCUUGAAUAUAGUGGAGGUGAGCGGAAUAUGUCAUGUAGCGGUGAAAUGCUUAGAUAUGACAUAGAACAUCGAUUGCGAAGGCAGCUCGCUACACUAUUAUUGACACUGAGGCACGAAAGCGUGGGGAUCAAACAGG
rnacentral:rRNA from 1 species